ACAGUGGAGUUUGAUCCAAGAACAGACAGAUUGUCUUCAUCUUCAAGAUGCUGUCAGUAAACUUCAGUCUGUUUGUCACUUUGUUUCUGCUCACAAUACGAGAGUGUAAAGGAGAAGACAAAGUGAUGCAGACAUCAGGAGAUGUCAUUGCUGCUGAAGGAGACACAGUUACACUGGAUUGUACUUUUGAAACAACUGCUUCAAAUCCCUAUUUGUUCUGGUACAAGCAAGUACAACAUGGCCUUCCAAAGUACAUUUUACGACGUGAUACUUAUGGAGAGAAUAAUGCUGCAGAGUUCCAGAAAGACAGAUUUGAUGCUGAACUCAACAAAACAUCAGUUCCUCUGAAGAUCCAGAAGCUUCAGCUGUCUGACUCUGCUGUGUACUACUGUGCUCUGCAGCCCACAGUGACAGGAAACAGCAAAACUCUGUACAAAAACCUUUGGAGCAAAGACAACAGAAAACUCCACAACAUCCACUAGAGGGAGACACACUCCAACACUUCCAUAAUGUGACCUCGAUUCUCGGUCCAGUUCACUAUCUGUUAUAAUACAGACGAGCCUCUGCUCCUGAAGCUUCUGUCAGUCUCAGACAUUCCUGUGGGGUCUUUUUUAAAUUUUUUUUUUUUUUUUUAAAGAAGCUCUGUUCCUAGAAAACUCCCCUACAUAACAAUUCAAGGCCUUUCUGAAUGAACAGCCAGCCCCAGGAAGCAAACUACGAAGCUUGUCAUAUUUCACUCUGGUGCA